CAGAAAACGCUGAUCAAAUAAGGAUCAGGAAUAAACAAAGAAGGAAAUCAACUGAAAACGCUUGCGGAAAACAAAACGCGAGGAGGGCCUGAAUUGGCGAAGAAAAAUACAACAAUUCACAAUUUAGAGCAUUAACGCGUAUAUCGAAAGUAACGGCCGUAAGGCAAGAAGGCAAAGAGUCAAUUGUAAUAGCGAAAAUGGAGCACGAGAGAAAUAUGGCGCGGCGUGGAAUUCUCCGGCAGAGAAUGAGCUGCCAGAGCCACUUGAUAAAGGCCUGAUAAUCACCCUGGAAUUAAGAACAGGUGUGCAGUAGGCAGAGGGAAAAACCCGCCACCUGCUGGCAGGCACGGAACGUGACAGUCCUUGAACCCUCAUAUGUUUUGCCGACAAGAAAGGUCUGUGUGGAAGUUCCAUAAAGUAGUAGAUGAAUCCCAUAUAAUGUUUGCUUUUGGUUUUGUUUUCAGACCAUCAAGAAAAUGGUGGCCGAAAAAUACAUGGAGGAACGGGAAAAAGUGAAAAUGGAAGUACAGCAAGCUGUGGCAGUGGCCUGUGGAGUCAUCUGGAUGAUGAGGUGGGGAGACUGGGAAGAGGUGGUGCAAACACAGUAUCUGAGGUCCAGCGGUACCUGGCACAAGAGAAUAUUGCACGUGACCAGGACCCGCUGUUGUACUAGAAGGACCAACACACUUCUUUCCCAAACCUCUCCCACCUCGCAAAGGAGUUCCUUUGUACGCCAGCCUCAUCCGUCCCUUGUGAGCGUGUGUUCUCCACAGCAGGAGAAAUCGCUUGUAAAAGACGCAACAGGCUGAAGUUUAAAACAUUGGAGCAUCUUAUUUUUCUCAAUAAAAAUUUGUGAAAUAAAA